rnacentral:lncRNA from 1 species
UAAUCUUUGCCCUUUAUAUUUAAACUACAUUAGUUUAACUUUGUGAAAUGUUCGCAAAGUAUCAUCAUAUGAUUGGUUUUAGGGCACAUUUCCAACAGGAUGUUUGGUAAUGAGUGUAGUGGAUGAGUGUUUGGUAAUGAGUGGAUGUAAUGGUUGUAGUGGGUGAGUGUUUGGUAAUGAGUGGAUGUAAUGGGUGUAGUGGAUGGAUGUUUGGUAAUGAGUGGAUGUAAUGGGUGUAGUGGGUGAGUGUUUGGUAAUGAGUGAAUGUAAUGGGUGUAGUGGAUGAGUGUUUGGUAAUGAGUGGAUGUAAUGGGUGUAGUGGAUGGAUGUUUGGGGUUGUAGGUCAACAAACUUGCUCACACAUGCUGAUUUCUAGCCUUCAAAUCUUCAAAAACGUCCAUCCUCAUGUCUCCAUGUUUACACUAUCCAAUCUUGGCCCAAAAAUGCUCCAAAAUGCUUCAAAUAGCACUUUGUUGCUAACUUUGUUAUUUGAACCUACAAACACACGAAAAUAGCUUAAAAUACAUAAUUGACUAAGAAAUAACAACAUAAAUGCAUAAAAACAAGCUAACUAAGUCGCAUAAAUAUGCUCCUAUCAAACUCCCCCACACUUAGCUUUUGCUAGUCCUCGAACAAAACAAAACAAACAAAACAUAACCUAGACCUUCCAACAUUUGCCUCAAGGAUUUUCAAUGAAACAUGACAUGCCAAAGAUCACCACUUACAUAGAUUUAAGCAAUCCUUACCCUCGAGCGUACUUAAUCAUAGUCACCAUUCACUAGCUCACAUUUAAUCAAUUAAAACAACAUUUUGAAUGUAGUAUCAUGCCUUAGAGAAUUUCCUCAAUUCCUUACUAGAUACUCUCUAUUUUCACACACAUUUUCUGACUACACACCCUACACUAGUUCUAUGUGAGAAGAUUGAUGUAAACAUGGAAGACUAGUACCCACAUAUGUUAUAACAAAGAAAGCAAUGUCUGGAGUUAAUAAGCAUGUUUAGAUAUGAUCUCAUGAAUGGUAUGCUACUACUUAGAUGAGAGAACCAGUGACACCAUAUGCUCAUACCAAUUUCGAACUCCACAAAUUGAAACACACAACACUCAAGAUUGAAGUCAAGGGUUGUAACAGGGCUUGGGGGUAAUGGCUAACAAAGAAAGGAUAGGCAUAACAAACGUUCUUAAAGCGAUAGCAAGCAAAGCAAUGAAAUAGACACUUGGAAUUCUCUUUUGAAUGCAUAAUCAACUUUUACAUACAAAGGGAAGAUUCAUGCAACACUUAGGGCCGAAUUCAAUGUUUUGGACCCUUUUUUAACAAACAACACUUUAGAGCUCUUGCUCAUACUCUUUUUUCUUUUCUCUACCCGUGCCUUAUUAAGGACUUUGGCACACACACACACAGGAAUCACUUCCCCCACACUUGUUUUUUUGCAAGAGUUCAACAAAAGCAAAUCUUUCUAAAUUAUGCUUUACUAUGCUUCAAGAACAAGGGUAUGGAUGGUCCUAUUCUAGGCUAGGUGAGGAUAGUGUGGGUAAGAAAGAACAUAGGCUACUGAUGCGAAAAUUACUUAACACACAAAUUAAACCCUCUUUUUGACAAUUGUAGUAUAGAUGUAAGUAGGGUAUCGUUCUAGGCCGGGGAUUAGGAGGGCUUGCUAAUAACCUCUCAAUUAAUUUAAAAAUAUUAAACAAGACUCAAGGACAUAAAAUUAGGCUAAAAACUCUAAUAACUCGAAACACACUUAAAAUGACUCAAAAUAAUGAAAACAAUUAA